GAUGAACGCUGGCGGCGUGCCUAAUACAUGCAAGUCGAGCGAACAGAUGAGGAGCUUGCUCCUCUGACGUUAGCGGCGGACGGGUGAGUAACACGUGAAUAACCUACCUAUAAGACUGGGAUAACUUCGGGAAACCGGAGCUAAUACCGGAUAAUAUAUUGAACCGCAUGGUUCAAUAGUGAAAGACGGUUUUGCUGUCACUUAUAGAUGGAUCCGCGCCGCAUUAGCUAGUUGGUAAGGUAACGGCUUACCAAGGCAACGAUGCGUAGCCGACCUGAGAGGGUGAUCGGCCACACUGGAACUGAGACACGGUCCAGACUCCUACGGGAGGCAGCAGUAGGGAAUCUUCCGCAAUGGGCGAAAGCCUGACGGAGCAACGCCGCGUGAGUGAUGAAGGUCUUCGGAUCGUAAAACUCUGUUAUUAGGGAAGAACAAAUGUGUAAGUAACUAUGCACGUCUUGACGGUACCUAAUCAGAAAGCCACGGCUAACUACGUG
rnacentral:rRNA from 1 species